UGAGCUAAUGGGUGGGGAGCACUUUGUAACCUGGAAACGUUGUGCAUCAGUGAAGUGUCCAUGAGGGUCCCUUUUCCCCCAAGGUUUGGGUCUACUUCUCUCUUCUCCAGAGCUAACCCAAAAGCCAGAGCUCCACAUGCCAGAGAUUCUUUUGGCUGAGAAGACUGUGACCUUGAACUGUACCCUCAAAGGCACCUGCAAAGAAACCAAAGCCCUCUUCCACUCCCGGAAGAACCCAGCCAUCUCCAGCAGCUCCUCCUCGGUGCUGCACUUCACCCUGAGGCCUGAGGACCAUGGCAACACCCUUGGAUGUCACUUGAACUUAUCCCUAGCCAACGUGACCAGAAGUAGCUUGGUCAAGCUCCAAGUGGUCUAUAAGAAAUCAGUUUCCAGUGUGUUCGUGAAAGGAUUAAUCCAGGGCAUUGUAUAUGGAGCCAUUGCAUUCUCAUUGCUCUUCUUCUGCCUCAUCCUCUUGUCGUGAGUAUCAAAGUUCAAAUUCAUCAGCAGCCUUUCCCAAAGCCUACUACCUUUA